rnacentral:ribozyme from 2 species
UUUGUAAUGCAGCCAUAGACAGUUACAAGCCUGUUAAAUGCAGAGUACAAA